AAAUGAGGUUAUAGGGGGAUCCUUGUUGUCGUCACUUUUUACAUUUUGGCUCCUGAGAAGGCAUCUUGUGGGAUACGAAUUGACUCCAAACAGUGAAAGAGUUAUUGAAACUUUGUACAGUUUUGGCUCUUUAGGUAUGGGUAUGGUAUGGGUUUGGGUAUGUGUGGAUAAUUGUCUUUCAAAAACCGAAAAAUUUCUGGGUGACGAAAGCGCUAAUAAUACUUUCUUUGUAAGAAUUUGAGUUUUUAAACCCACGUCACACAAAAUGCAUUCAAUAAAUCGGGUUCAAGUUCCUUGCCCAGUUAGUCGUGCAGUUUGACCUUUCAAUAUUCAGAACUGAUUUGUUUUGCAGUUCCACCAGAAACUGAAUCGCUUAUUCUAAUAGAGCAUAUAUUGUAAAAAAGGAUUCUCCUAUCAUAACAGGCUACGAGGCGCAAGGAGAUAAUAUCAUUUGUACACUAAGUUGAUAAUCACGUAAAAUAGUAGACAAAAAAUUUUAAUAACACAAAAGAAAAUUACAGAUCAUAAGCUCAUUUGUGCUUUAGUGUCAAGUACCAUGCAUAAACUUUCCGUCAUAAGCUCCCCCACCCCCAUUCUAUUAAAGGCGGCCUUUUUCACUUUCAGCUACCCCCAUACCGUUGUUUUUCUUUCACCUGCCAACUUCCCCCUGACCAAGAGCCUGGAACAGGCUUCCUCCGGGUAAGCAUGUAACAUCCCAAAUCUAGACGCACAAAUCUCUCUAAUACUAUGCUCUUUCGAAUAUAGGCCUAUGAGUUUAUAUCUAGUUUGCAGCUAAAUAAACCUUCUAAUUCUAAACUGAAUUUCUUCCGAUUAUAUUAAAGCUCCCAAGAUAGGGGUGUAAUUCACGGACCCAUGAUGUUCAACUGAUGAUUUUACAACUUCUUCUCUAUUGUUUCUCAUCGUUUUGCUUUAACAGUUUAAUAGCAAUUUUGUUCGACAUGAAAACGGAAAAACAUUUUGAAACUUUACAUGCUAAUUUUCUUUGACAAAUCAUUAUCUAUAAGGAACGAAAUGUUUCUCAACAUCGCAAAGCUAAUGCUAAUGGAAAUUAACCUGUAGAGUGUUCAACCUUUACUGUUAUUAUUCGCUUGUCAUUCAAGAGCCACGCGUUUUUCCAUAGUUUAACGAGGUAAUACCAACGGAUGCUAAAGAGAACGACAAAAGCCGUGGACACUAAGACAGUAGCAGUAGGCGAGUGUUUACACAGGUUUGUUAGCCAAGAGUAAAUUAAUCGUGGCUCUUUUGUUUCCUUUUGUGCUUGCCACGUAAUGGUAGACCUAAGUAAGAAGGAUAUCGCCCGCACAUGUUUGACUACCAAAAGAGUGACUACUCGCAAUCGAGCGCGCCACAUGCACGCUGAAGGUCAAACACAAGAACGAAGAGGGGUGGCAAGAACGUACUUCCUCGAUACUGAGCUUCCUUCUUCCUUUAGCUUCGCCUGCCACUGUGCGAGAUUAAGAGUCGACCAAAAAUAUCGCGGAAGAAUUUUGUCGCAUAAGAUAUCGUAUGGUAUAUAGGAGAACCAGCACUGACUCACGUAAUAAAUUAUGCCUGUAAUAUACAAUUCCUUUGGGUUCACAAGCCAACAUGUUGACUGAAUAAAAUGGAAAAUUCUGAAACCCUCGUGAUACGUAUCACAGAAAGGGGAAGUCUCGCAUUCAUUUCACGCCUACACUGUCCUGUUUUUGUUAUCUCGCCAUGUACACUACUACACAGGAGCGGGUUUUUUUUCAGCUACUUUACGACGGAGCACGUCUUUAGUAGAGGUAAACGAUUACGGUAACACGAUCGGAUGUUCUAAGGAACGAGGAACGCUGUGAAAACUGAAAUACGAGUAGUAGGAGUGUUUCUACAGCUUUGUUAACUAAGAGUGGAUUAGCAAAACGUUUUUGCUUCUUUUAGUGUUUGUUUGCCAAGACUGCGUUUCAAUGCUCUGUACUUCGCUUAGAUACUGAAAAAUGCGUGACCAAAAUUGGCCACUAAGGUCGUCACAUAACAGAUCGAAACGAAGGCUGCAAUGAAAUUUUGACUUAAUUGAGUGAGACAUUGCUCGCUUUCUUUGGCUUCGCUCGACUGUUUUGAUGAUUAAAAUUGACGAUUAAAAGAGAUAAUAACCUCAAUCAAAUCUAGCAGCUUCUGAAAGGGUAACCAGACGAGCUCAAAGCACAGGAGAGUGCGAAGAGUGCGAAGAACUUCUUCGCACUCUUCCCUGCUCCUGUGCUCCGCAAACAGCGCCGAAUAUAUCGCGAAAGAACUUGCCACAUAGAAUAAAAAAUUAAUAAAGGGCGCGACAGGACAGUCAGCACCCAAAAUAAUGCUACGCUAAUGAACAUGCAGUUCCUCUUUGUGCAAGCAAAAGCGGGAAUGGCCACGUAAACCUGUAUGUUGACCAAAUAAAAUGGAGAAGUCUGUAUACAUUCUAAUCCAUAAAACAGAGCGGUUUUAAAGCCCUCUUGUUGGACACCCACACUGAUUGAUUUUUUGCUCUGUCCCACGUAUGUUUACUAAGAGAGCAUGUCCUCGGUGGAGGUACACGAUUCGGUGCGGAAGUUUAAACUUACGUUAAUCUCCCUCCCUUCGGAAGAUUAGCAGCAGGGUAAGGAACACAAGUAAACACUAUAAAAGAUUUAAAGAGUGAACUGUGUCAGAGGUAUACGAUAGCUCAUUCCUAGUGUUCAUAUACAUUUUAAGUAAUUUUUUUUAGUUUUCGUCGCUCUGCUCUAGAAAGACGAGCCAGACCAUAGAAAACUGAGUUAUUGCAUCUAACAGCAAUCUGUAAACGACCUCCGUGAAGGUAUGCGAUUCGGAAGCAAUACCGUAAUUCAGUACGGAAUUGAGAAGCUUACAUCAGAUGGAUUACUAUUAAACAAGAGCUAGUUACUUAGAAAGAGGUUUUUGUUCAUGAACUGUCGCACAGAAAGUGUGAUGGCUAAUUGAGAGUCGCUGAUAGUUCACCGAUUGAGUCUGCCCUCCAGGAUAUCCCUUGAGACGAAAAGAUUUUCAGAACCUGCCCUAAUUGAAACUCUCUAUAUAGUGGUGAAGUGUUUUCAGUAUAAGAAAAGAAGGAAACGUGACGUUCUACAAUGUAGGUUUUGUUCAGUAUCGUUUCACUUUAGUUAUAUAAUACUUUCCCUCGCUCUCUCUUACACACUCAAGAUUAAAUGGGAGGAGAAACCUUACACUGUUGUUUACACAUCCUUAUCUCAAAGCAAAACGGAGUAAUUUAUGAUCACUUUCAACAGAACCCCUUCUGCAGGAUAGAAGACAAAGAAAGGAUUGUUUUUAAAGAAACAAAACUUGUGGGCCUGAUGCACCGAGCGUGGGAUUGACGGAGGACAGACCAGACACACAAAAGGUGAGCUUUUUGAGAAGCAGCUUCCCUUUCGCCUCCCAUUUGUAUCUGCUAGACAUGCAAGGUUUUUUAGUCUUGUACAAGGCCCAUAGGUUCCUUGCUAUACUGCCAGGAUAAUGCCUGAGAACUAUUUUUGGCUUGUACCUUUGGUGCGUCACCUAUUUCAUCCUCUAUUGUGGAUCAAAAUAACUUCACAAGUGGAAUACGGAAGCUAAUAACUAAUUCAUAAGUCCGGCUAAAUAUAGACUUAAUUCAGUCAACAAUACUCUUAACUGGCUUUUCGACUUAAACCGAGUCUAAAAUUGCGAAAAGCAAGCUUGUCACUGAACCAUAGCUCCGAUGGAAACUUCUGCCUCAAGGAGAACAUUUACGAAAAGUCUCACCUUUGUGGACUAUGUUUACAACGAAUGGGGUUUUAAAAGUAAAAUUAAACUUUCUAUUUUAACGACUGAACGUCUAACGAGUUUCUGUCUUUUAUAUGUAUAACUUCUAACAUUUCAUUAAAGAGAGCCAAAAGAAAGGUAGUCUCCGCCUCCCAGUAUUCGGGUUCCAGUCUCGUAACAUUGGAAACAAAACUCAGAAAUGAAUUUCAAGUUGAUGUGCACAAAUUUGGAAAAACGUUACGUAAUACGUGCUGCUCAACAAACUCAACAAUUGCUGUAGCUCAACUCCUGACCUCCAAAUCGGAAGUAAACAAAGAUACUAUCAACAACCGCAAUUAUCGUGACGGGCGGAGGAGAUCGCAAAGGCUGCAAUCACUAGAUUCCUAUCGUGAACACAGAAAAACAAACGAUAAUAUUUCUCUAGAAGGUAACGCCGGCUAAGGAGAACGGAGAAAAUUGACUGCUGGUACAGUGCCUCGAGUCGGUGAAACGAAGCCAUGAUACAGGGCAUGCCUGAAGUAAUGUGUAUACGAAUAAUCUAGCAAGAAAUAGACAAAGUAUGUAAAAGAACUCUAGAAUACCCAUGGAAUAGUUAUCUAAUAAAGAUGAACUGGCUUUAUUUUGUUAUCAUUGUUUAUCGUUCCAUCUCAUCUUAUUAGAUCACUUCUCUAACUGUAAACUACUUGUGGGCACGUACUCUUGCAUAAAGAUGAGCUGGCUAAAAUCAUGCAACAUUACCCGGUUCACAAGGUGUUACUGGUGCGAAACGAGCAAUGACAUAGAAAACCUUUUCAAGCCAACAGGGCGGAGG
rnacentral:lncRNA from 1 species